rnacentral:rRNA from 1 species
UACAGAGGUCUCAAGCGUUGUUCGGAUUCAUUGGGCGUAAAGGGUGCGUAGGUGGCGCGCUAAGUCAGGUGUGAAAUUUCGGAGCUUAACUCCGAAACUGCAUUUGAUACUGGCGUGCUUGAGGACUGGAGAGGAGAGACUUGGAAGUUACGGUGAUAGCGGUGAAAUGCGUAGAUAUCGUAAGGAAGACCAGUGGCGAAGGCGGGUCUCUGGACA